AGGGCUUGUGCCGCGGGGUUAUAAAUUGGCUGCUUCCAGGACGCUGAUGGCUGGGAGGAGUGGCUGCUAGUGUUUCCAGAACACCAAAGCACUAGGCAACUGCUUUCAAACCCACCGCAGAUGGAUUCUUUGCCGCAGCAACUAUCAGAUUCCAAAGAAAUCACCGUUGGGAAGUUGGUGUCCACAUCAAAAUCGCAAGCUUCUCACCAAAGUCUGAUUUAUAAGCAAGCUGUGAGGUUCUUGCAGCACACAGUAUCUGAAUUAAUUCUUCUACCUGGAGGUGCAGUGGUAGAUUCCCCUUAAGUAUCAAAUUUGCCUCGUAUCCAUUUCCCACAUGGAGAAAGCAUAUUAAAAGUUGAACGUCUCCCUGCUGAGGUUCCCUGCCACCCAAAGGGCCACCUGCCAUGGGCAUACUUAGGGCCUAUAGCAUAUUGGAUUGAUUAUUAGAUAUGUCAGUUGAUUCUCUCUGCUGUCGGGAACAACCGCGAUUAAAAGAUUCUCAGAGCAUGCCUUUACCGUUUCUGUGCACGGGACAGUCCCCUAUAGUCUGCCGCAGGCUGCAGGACAACUUGGAGCAGUUUGCACUGUCUGACUGCUGACUGUGCGUGAAGUCCCUGGACACCAGCUCUGACAGUGUCUCCUGUCAAUCAGCAUUCGAGGCUGGGACUUCUCUUCACUCUCCCGACCCUGGACCCACAGACAUUUCCUAGUGACAGCUUUGUGAUUCCUCUGCGCCUUGCCACCGUGAUAUUCUGAGAAGACAGUUCCAAAGGGGCCUCUGUGUGGGUGGUAGGGAGGAAGAAUCCAGUCUAGUCACCUGUCACUCAGCGGAACUCUGCCACCUUCAUCUUCACCUCCAUGGUUUGAAUGAAGAUAAUGCAUGAAGCAUGUGUCGCCUUCACUGUAUAUGGCCUUAAUCUAUUUUCCAUUGCUAUCACAAAAUAAAUGGGAGUUGGCUAUU